rnacentral:tRNA from 1 species
GCGUGGGUAAUUCAAUGGUAGAAUGCGGGGCCUCCAACCCCGUGACGAGGGAUCAAAACCCUCCCUUCGCACCA